rnacentral:rRNA from 1 species
GAAUGGCGUAAUGAUGGCCAGGCUGUCUCCACCCGAGACUCAGUGAAAUUGAACUCGCUGUGAAGAUGCAGUGUACCCGCGGCAAGACGGAAAGACCCCGUGAACCUUUACUAUAGCUUGACACUGAACAUUGAGCCUUGAUGUGUAGGAUAGGUGGGAGGCUUUGAAGCGUGGACGCCAGUCUGCGUGGAGCCGACCUUGAAAUACCACCCUUUAAUGUUUGAUGUUCUAACGUGGAUCCGUAAUCCGGGUUGCGGACAGUGUCUGGUGGGUAGUUUGACUGGGGCGGUCUCCUCCUAAAGAGUAACGGAGGAGCACGAAGGUUGGCUAAUCCUGGUCGGACAUCAGGAGGUUAGUGCAAUGGCAUAAGCCAGCUUGACUGCGAGCGUGACGGCGCGAGCAGGUGCGAAAGCAGGUCAUAGUGAUCCGGUGGUUCUGAAUGGAAGGGCCAUCGCUCAACGGAUAAAAGGUACUCCGGGGAUAACAGGCUGAUACCGCCCAAGAGUUCAUAUCGACGGCGGUGUUUGGCACCUCGAUGUCGGCUCAUCACAUCCUGGGGCUGAAGUAGGUCCCAAGGGUAUGGCUGUUCGCCAUUUAAAGUGGUACGCGAGCUGGGUUUAGAACGUCGUGAGACAGUUCGGUCCCUAUCUGCCGUGGGCGCUGGAGAACUGAGGGGGGCUGCUCCUAGUACGAGAGGACCGGAGUGGACGCAUCACUGGUGUUCGGGUUGUCAUGCCAAUGGCACUGCCCGGUAGCUAAAUGCGGAAGAGAUAAGUGCUGAAAGCAUCUAAGCACGAAACUUGCCCCGA